GACGAACGCUGGCGGCGUGCUUAACACAUGCAAGUCGAACGGUGAAGCGCCUUCCUUUUUGGUGGGUGUGGAUGAGUGGCGAACGGGUGAGUAACACGUGAGUAACCUGCCCCCUUCUUCUGGAUAACCGCAUGAAAGUGUGGCUAAUACGGGAUAUUCUGGGUCUGUCGCAUGAUGGGUCUGGGAAAGAUGUUGUUUCGGUGGGGGAUGGGCUCGCGGCCUAUCAGCUUGUUGGUGGGGUGAUGGCCUACCAAGGCGGUGACGGGUAGCCGGCCUGAGAGGGUGGACGGUCACACGGGGACUGAGACACGGCCCGGACUCCGACGGGAGGCAGCAGUGGGGAAUAUGGAACAAUGGGCGCAAGCCUGAUGCAGCGACGCCGCGUGAGGGAUGGAGGCCUUCGGGUUGUGAACCUCUUUCGCCAGUGAAGCAGGCCUGCCUCGUUUGUGGGUGGGUUGACGGUAGCUGGAUAAGAAGCGCCGGCUAACUACGUG
rnacentral:rRNA from 1 species